rnacentral:tRNA from 1 species
AGAUUGUAAGGCAAAAUG